CGUCAUGUAUGCAGUGUUCACAGAAGACAGACUAGGGUACCGGAUGCCCCGAGGCUGGAGCUACGGAUAGUUGUUAACUUCCACGUGGGUGCUGGGGUUGGAUUUGUGUCCGCUGCAGGAACAGGGUCUUUUAAUAGCAGAGCUAUCUCUGCAGCCCUGCGUAACCUCUCUUGAUAUGACUUAACCUCUCUUAAUAGGAUGAUGGUGUGACCUGUCUUGACCCGUGUGGACAAAUAGCUGGUCCCGCCCCUUAAGGUUUUUUUUUUUUUUUUUUAAACUGAAACAACACUGCACACUCUGGGGACUGAAAUGAACUAUGCUCAAAGCGAGCUCUGGGCGCCAACCAGGAAGGAAGGAAUAGUUGGCGGUGUCAAGAAGUCUGCGAGGAAGACCCCGCCUCUCUUUCUGCCUCCCGGGAUGAGUUUUCUGCUCUCUUCUCUCCCCCGCCCUCUUCCGGGCUGUGUUGGGACUAGAGUGAAGCCUUGCCUACCUCCUCAUGGUUCUUCUUGAGGUACGUCAUCUCUUCACUCAGGGACUCGUACUGCAGCUCUUGGUCCGUCCUGCACAGGGUCAGCUCGUCAAGGACACGCCGAAGUCCGUUGAUGUCUGCCUCCACGUUUUGGUGAAGGCUCGGUGUUGGCCUCUUCCAGAGCUUUUACGUUAUCCAGGUAGGAGGCCAAGCGGUUGUUGAGAUUCUGCAUCGUGACCUUCUCGUUUCCAGAGAGGAGACCUCCUUCACUUCCGGCGAAGCCAACCCCAGCGGCAUUU